CCAUUAUGGCUUAUGUGAAUUUCAAGAAAGAGCAAGCUUCCAAGAAGGAAAAAGUGUCACAGCAAGGAAAACAACCCUCAAUUACAGAAUGCUUGCAGGUCUUGAAUGACAUGGAUGAUGUUCCCGACGAGGUCAAAAUCUUUGCCUCUGAUGUUUUCAAGGAUGCAGCAAAUCGUGAGAUUUUCCUGGGUUACAACUCAAGAUUGCGGGGUAUGUGGCUAAAGAAGGAAGUCGACAAGAUUAGUCCUCAGCCUCCUCCUUCUCGGUUUUCAUCUGGCGGUAUUCCUUCAAUCAAUCUGGUGCUCUGAUCAAAGGAUGUCCUUUCACAUGAUUCUAUGAUUACCCGAGUCCAUGAAGCAAUCAAUAAUCUUCCUGAAAUAUUUUAUGUCUAAGCGCACAAUGGUUGAACAACUGCCUCAAUAAAUUUGGUUAUGUAGCAUGCGGACAAGACGAGACAAGUAUGCCUCGAUAAAUUUGUAAUUUAAACUACUGACUUUGAGCACUAUGAGUUAUCGGAACUAUGUUCAAAUGGAUGAUUGCAAAAAUAUUAUCCUUUU